GGUUCUAUGGUGUAGUGGUUAGCACUCUGGACUUUGAAUCCAGCGACCUGGGUUCGACUCCUCCCGGUAGGACCU